AUUGAACGCUGGCGGCAGGCCUAACACAUGCAAGUCGAAUGGUAACAGGAAACAGCUUGCUGUUUCGCUGACGAGUGGCGGACGGGUGAGUAAUGUCUGGGAAACUGCCUGAUGGAGGGGGAUAACUACUGGAAACGGUAGCUAAUACCGCAUAACGUCGCAAGACCAAAGAGGGGGACCUUCGGGCCUCUUGCCAUCAGAUGUGCCCAGAUGGGAUUAGCUAGUAGGUGGGGUAACGGCUCACCUAGGCGACGAUCCCUAGCUGGUCUGAGAGGAUGACCGGCCACACGGAAACUGAAACACGGUCCAGCCUCCAACGGAGGGCGGCGGUGGGAAAUAUGGCACAUGGGGGGCAAGCCGGUGGCAGCAAGGCCGGGUGUAUGAGAAAGGCUUUGGGUUGGAAAAGUCCUUUAGGCGGGAAGAAGGGAGUUAAGGUAAAACCCUUGCCUCUUGAAGUUACCCGCAGAAGAAGCACCGGCUAACUCCGUG
rnacentral:rRNA from 1 species